ACUUUUCUGUAGCUUCACCCUGGACAUGUGUCUGGCUCACCGACACGUGGACACAUUUCCAUUCCUUCUCUCACAUGGCUUUGCGGCUCCGGUUCACUUCUGUUUACACACCCUCCCGUCGGUUUCACAGAGACACCUGCUCCCACCUCCGUGUUUCUUAGCCUCCCUAGGAACUUGCAUACCCAGGUCUUCCAGCUUCUGGAAUCUUCCUCUUGCCGUCGUGCCAUGAUGCCUUAAGAACUCAGGAGUUCUCUGACCUGAGUCCUAGUCAAGCUACUUAGUGUGGAGAACUUGGGGUAGGUCAACUUUUCCAGGCCACCUUUAUCUCAGUUGGAAAACAGCGUUAAUAAUCUUUACCCUUGCAGGUCAGGUGGGAUAUCCUACAGGUAAGCACCAGACUUUGUUUGGGGGACUUGAAGUAAAAUCAAUAGAAGUUCAUGAGAAAACACAAUUGUAGUCAACACUCGAUUUUCUUACACAUUAAGUUCCCACAAGGACCAAAGAGAGGAGAAAGAAAUGGAGGGGAAGGGGGGGAGAAACGUCAGAGAGAAAGCAGAAAAGAAUGAAUUAAAAAUGCCAUUAAGGAUGAAAAAGUAGGAAAGAGAGGCUUAGAAAAUAUUAAAAUCCACCAAAAUACAUUUAGAGAAAAGGUUUCCUCUUGAGUUGGGCUAAAAGAAAGCAAACAGGAAGGUUUUAAAUUGAUUAGCCCAAUGACAAAUCCCAGGAAGCUUUCAGAUCAAAUCGCCCCAUUUUAGGUUUUUAACUCCAUCAAGUUUAACCUCUUUACCUCCUCCAUCGUGGUAAACCCUGACCUCCCCUCCCCCCAACAACCCGCUUUGCUAGUGAUUAAAUCCUGAAGGUGCACGGAAAGUAUUUCAAUGAAUGAAUGGCCGGCAGAAAAGAGCCUUCCCCCUCCCCCCAGCUGUGUUUUUCAGUUUUAUUCCACUUUCGUCCUUUUCCCUUAAUGAACACAGAGCUGGUCUUGGGCCUUGUCGAAGGAAGAGGCCGCAGACGUUAAUGAGGUAGCUGCUGGAUUCCAAUAUUCGUUCUCAUAAGGAGCCUUCUUUGUCUGUGAAGGAAAAACACACUGAUUAUCAUAAUGAGGUGAACUGGUGACCGCAGGGCAGGGGAGACGCGGGUUCUUAAGCCACACUUCUAAUUCUGGUGCUGGAACUGACGUUUCUUUUGCUCUGUCCUAGCGCAGAGUCCAUUGAGUGGGCUGAAAGUUGAAGGCAGCUUUGGGAAGCAGGGCUGCAGUUAGGGCUGCAUCGUAGAAAGGUUCUUUGUUCAACCCUACACGCACAUGCAGCUGGCCAGGGCAUUCGUGCCCUCUCCAAUAGCCGAGGACCAGGGAUUACACCAGUGGUCAGUUUCCAACUCUAGCGCUCAUCCAAUGUGUGUCAGGACCCACUGAGAGCACUCAGCACUUACUCCAGAUGAACAAGUGGUAGGAGAGGGCCACUUCGUAGGCAUAGAGACAAGAUACGGAUAUAUACUGGUACCCCAGAGGGCCCCCCUAUGAAAAAGGCAUAGUUUGGGGUUCACAUGUGGCUCCAGAACACUGAUGAAAUUGGGACUCAGAGGGUUAGUGAUUUGUCAGGACUGAUCAACCAAGUGCUAAAGGAAGCUUGAAACUCAGGUCCAGCAUCAGAACCUGCCAUCUCAAUGCCCGCCUCACUCACGUGCCUGACCCCACCAGAAUCAUCACCCCCCCUUUUUUUUUAUCUCAUCCUUUAGCUCUGUAGAGCCCCUUAACAUCUUCAGAGCAGAUACGUCCCAAGUCUGAAACUUGUACUUAUUUGUCCUGAGUUCUGCACAUUUCUCACCCCAAGGCAGAUCAGUCAAGACUAGGUCACUGCAGUUAAACUUUAGGCUCUACCUAGACCUUCAGCUAAAUGGAAAAAACUUGGGGAGAAGAGAGGUGAUCGGAGCAAGAAAAUGUUAAUAGUUAAAACCUUAAGGGGCCUCCCUCCCUGAAUGAAUCUGUUUGGCUAAAGGUUCUCUGGCAUCAUGGGGUGGUCAAAAUCAGAUGCUCUUUCCAAGUUAGCAGAAUGAGCUGUAGCCCUGCACCCCAUUAUAAAGAAUGUUGAAAGAUAUCCAAUUGGCUGAUUGGGGGCAAAAGCCUGAGGUGACCCUCCACCCCUUUUUGUGAGGAUGAGAAUUUCUGAAUGACUGAGAUGUAGUUGCCCAC